GCACAAGCGGAGGAGCAUGUGGUUUAAUUCGAUGAUACGCGAGGAACCUUACCAGGGCUCGAACGCAGGGGGGAUAUACCUGAAAGGGUAUAGCCAGCGAUGGUCGCCUGCGAGGUGCUGCAUGGUUGUCGUCAGCUCGUGCCGUGAGGUGUCAGGUUAAGUCCUAUAACGAGCGCAACCCCUAUCCAUAGUUGCCAGCGGGUAAAGCCGGGGACUCUAUGGGAACUGCCUGCGCAAGCAGAGAGGAAGGAGGGGAUGACGUCAAAUCAGCACGGCCCUUAUGUCCUGGGCUACACACGUGCUACAAUGGUCGGUACAGAGGGCAGCGACCACGUGAGUGGGAGCCAAUCCUUAAAAGCCGAUCUCAGUUCGGAUUGGAGUCUGCAACCCGACUCCAUGAAGUUGGAUUCGCUAGUAAUCGCGCAUCAGCCAUGGCGCGGUGAAUACGUUCCCGGGCCUUGUACACACCGCCCGUCAAGCCAUGGGAGCUGGGGGUACCUGAAGUUCGUGACCCGCGAGGGAGCGACCUAGGGUAAACUCAGUGACUGGGGCUAAGUCGUAACAAGGUAGCCGUAGAAUC
rnacentral:rRNA from 1 species